AUGUCCAGGUAAACACCGAGAGGAUUGUUUUCAACUGUUUUGUAAAAUCUACAAGCUGUGAACAUUAUUGAAGCAUUGUAGAAUCCCAGGGAUAAUUAAAUCAAAACAAUUUUAAAUCACCGAUUUCUUUAUGCUCGAGUCACCUGAUCGGCCAAAGGAAACUUGAAGGUCACAAACAUGCGAGGUUGCAGACCCACGUUGCCUCGAUCGCCUGAUGUCAUGUCGUGUCACUGUGCAGUGAGAUUGUACAUGAAGAAACAACCCUACAGUACUUAAUUUACCCAGGAGUAGACUACAUGUACCAGUAGUUGAAAAAAAGACUAAAGGCCAGACUUAGG